GGUCUACUCCAGGCAUCAGGGUCCCUUUGAGAAGAUUACGAAGUUUGCUUCCUAGUAACGUCAUUGAGAUGGCAAAAUACAUCCCAACCUUCUUCGUUGUGGCGAUGAUCGUCCAUUCGCUGCUGGCGCAUCCCCUGAAUUUGGAAGAACUUGUACCUUCGGAGGAAAGUUCGAUUAUAAGUCAACAAGGUUCAACAUAUAGCCCUUUGGAAUCGGAUACCGGAAAUGAAAACGAAGUUGACCUAAACGACAUCAUAAUUUCGUUGAAUGGAGCUGAUAAUAACGCCAUCAUAAUACCGGAAUUAGUUCGUCCCCUACUUCCGAUCAUAAUAGGAGAGGGAAUUAAAAUUGUGGGGGGAGUAAUUGAAAGAGCUCUAGGGUCUGGGAAGAAAGUACCAGUUCGAAAGCCUCCGAAGAAAGGGCAGAGAGAAGUGAAAAAACCUGUCAAGAAACCCGUUGGCUAAAAUAUAUGUUCUCUAAAAUAAUAAUGAGUUGCUGAUGAACUGGAAUGACUUCGCUGCUAAUUGACCCAUGGAGCCGUCAACAUCACGGCGAACAUCUUGGAAAGUCAACUAAUGAAAAUAUUCCUAACAAAACUUUAUGUUUAAGUUGUAACCGAAUAUAUUUUUAUGCACUACACAUUGCAUAAUGUCCAUGUUCUUCGGGUCAUCCUACCAUCAAAUUAAUUGCUCAACAAUAUUUUGCUAUAAGUAGAAAUAAUUUAUAAGUGGUUAUUAUUGUCACAAUAUCCGCAACAUAAAUCAAUAUGAUGGUAUAAAUGACUAUGUGUUUUAAUGGAAUGGUAUCUUAAUUCUUAAGAAGUCAAAUAAAAAUCCAUUUUUCCGAUUAACAAGAUUACCUUAUGACAUCAUAAUUGAUAUUUUCCGUUUAUUUUUCCGAUCCGUGAAGACAAUUUGAUUUUCUUUGGUUAGAAUAACUAGCUAGACUGGCGAAUUUCAGUUAAUUCAUUUCAGUUGUUCAGUCGCACAUUAAAAAUAUUAUAUGUGGCAAGAGUUUUUUUCAGUUUUCUAAACAUCAGUGGCAAGACAUGUUUUAGUUCAUUAAUGUUCAUGUAUGUGAAAUUUCUUUCCUAUAAAUAUAUGUCUGCACCCAA
rnacentral:lncRNA from 1 species